CCCUGGCAGUCAGAGGCGAUGAAGGACGUGCUAAUCUGCGAUAAGCGUCGGUAAGGUGAUAUGAACCGUUAUAACCGGCGAUUUCCGAAUGGGGAAACCCAGUGUGUUUCGACACACUAUCAUUAACUGAAUCCAUAGGUUAAUGAGGCGAACCGGGGGAACUGAAACAUCUAAGUACCCCGAGGAAAAGAAAUCAACCGAGAUUCCCCCAGUAGCGGCGAGCGAACGGGGAGCAGCCCAGAGCCUGAAUCAGUAUGUGUGUUAGUGGAAGCGUCUGGAAAGGCGCGCGAUACAGGGUGACAGCCCCGUACACAAAAAUGCACAUGCUGUGAGCUCGAUGAGUAGGGCGGGACACGUGGUAUCCUGUCUGAAUAUGGGGGGACCAUCCUCCAAGGCUAAAUACUCCUGACUGACCGAUAGUGAACCAGUACCGUGAGGGAAAGGCGAAAAGAACCCCGGCGAGGGGAGUGAAAAAGAACCUGAAACCGUGUACGUACAAGCAGUGGGAGCACGCUUAGGCGUGUGACUGCGUACCUUUUGUAUAAUGGGUCAGCGACUUAUAUUCUGUAGCAAGGUUAACCGAAUAGGGGAGCCGAAGGGAAACCGAGUCUUAACUGGGCGUUAAGUUGCAGGGUAUAGACCCGAAACCCGGUGAUCUAGCCAUGGGCAGGUUGAAGGUUGGGUAACACUAACUGGAGGACCGAACCGACUAAUGUUGAAAAAUUAGCGGAUGACUUGUGGCUGGGGGUGAAAGGCCAAUCAAACCGGGAGAUAGCUGGUUCUCCCCGAAAGCUAUUUAGGUAGCGCCUCGUGAAUUCAUCUCCGGGGGUAGAGCACUGUUUCGGCAAGGGGGUCAUCCCGACUUACCAACCCGAUGCAAACUGCGAAUACCGGAGAAUGUUAUCACGGGAGACACACGGCGGGUGCUAACGUCCGUCGUGAAGAGGGAAACAACCCAGACCGCCAGCUAAGGUCCCAAAGUCAUGGUUAAGUGGGAAACGAUGUGGGAAGGCCCAGACAGCCAGGAUGUUGGCUUAGAAGCAGCCAUCAUUUAAAGAAAGCGUAAUAGCUCACUGGUCGAGUCGGCCUGCGCGGAAGAUGUAACGGGGCUAAACCAUGCACCGAAGCUGCGGCAGCGACGCUGAUGCGUUGUUGGGUAGGGGAGCGUUCUGUAAGCCUGCGAAGGUGUGCUGUGAGGCAUGCUGGAGGUAUCAGAAGUGCGAAUGCUGACAUAAGUAACGAUAAAGCGGGUGAAAAGCCCGCUCGCCGGAAGACCAAGGGUUCCUGUCCAACGUUAAUCGGGGCAGGGUGAGUCGACCCCUAAGGCGAGGCCGAAAGGCGUAGUCGAUGGGAAACAGGUUAAUAUUCCUGUACUUGGUGUUACUGCGAAGGGGGGACGGAGAAGGCUAUGUUGGCCGGGCGACGGUUGUCCCGGUUUAAGCGUGUAGGCUGGUUUUCCAGGCAAA
rnacentral:rRNA from 1 species